rnacentral:other from 2 species
GCGGGGCUGCGCGGUGCGACAGGUCGCUUUGUCCCUGGGGCCGAUGCGCUUCUCUUAGGGGGCUGUCCCUGCCGGGAUCGUGGUCCUGGACACACGGCACCCACCUGCUGUUGCAGGGCCCAAGAGGAGACGAUAUGACCACCGGCCGAUGCGGCUCCGCU